rnacentral:lncRNA from 1 species
AGCACACCCAAGCCUGAGACAACAGCUCUGCUAAGUGCCCUUGAGAGGGCACGGUGGGGUCAGCACCAAAGCCAGACCACUAAAGAGAAAAAGAGAGAAAGACAGGAUUGCAGAGGAGAAAUGAGAAUGGCAGAAAAAAUAAUUUUUUAAGCCAAAAGGAAUCAGAGAAGAGCAGAAGUGCCUCUAGGAUAAAGCGUAGCAGGCAGUUAGGGAAAAAGGGCUGUUAAUUACCUUGAAGCUCUGACUACAUUAGAAAGCCUCGCAAGACAGUCGUUGCUUGCACGGGCAGGUAGAGAACUUUUCCUGUCCAUUGUUCUUCUGAAUUAUAAAUCACUGACCUCUUUAUGAUUUCUAAAGGGAAAAUGACUUCAAGCUUCUUAGAGUUCCCCUAAGGCAUUCUCUAUAUUCAAUAUAAUAUGGGAAGCCCUGGGUUUGUCUUUGUAUGUUUCAUCUGCAGUGACCUGAAAUCUUCAUAACCCUCUUCCUUUCUCCACUUAUCAACUAAGGGGUGGUUGGCAAUAAGGAUGGGUGGGAGAGAAAAAAAAACAGAAUUUGAGGAGGAGAGCAUUUAAACCCUCAGACUGUGUGUUCUGUGACAUCAAAGACUGGCAACAUUCUAAAGGAAAAGCAGCUGUGAAGUCAUAAUUAUGUUCACUUCCCACUGGCAACUGGCAAGCCCUUUAUUUUUGUGCAUUCGGAACUCACCAAGAAUAAAUAAAGUCCAUUCCCUCCUUGA